CCUACGGGUGGCAGCAGUGGGGGAUAUUGCACAAUGGGGGGAACCCUGAUGCAGCGACGCCGCGUGGGUGAAGGAGUGCUUCGGCAUGUAAAGUCCUAUCGGCAGGGAAGAAGCAAGACGGUACCUGACUAAGAAGCCCCGGCUAACUACGUGCCAGCAGCCGCGGUAAUACGUAGGGGGCAAGCGUUAUCCGGAUUUACUGGGUGUAAAGGGAGCGUAGACGGCGCUGCAAGUCCGGAGUGAAAGCCCAUGGCUUAACCAUGGUAAUGCUCUGGAAACUGUGGAGCUUGAGUGGGAGAGGGGCAGGCGGAAUGCCUAGUGUAGCGGUGAAAUGCGUAGAUAUAAGGAAGAACACCGACGGCGAAGGCGGCCUGCUGGACCGUAACUGACGUUGAGGCUCGAAAGCGUGGGGAGCAAACAGGAUUAGAUACCCUAGUAGUC
rnacentral:rRNA from 1 species